rnacentral:tRNA from 1 species
GCCGAAGUAGCUCAGUGGUAGAGCAGCUGAUUCGUAAUCAGCAGGUCGCGGGUUCAAUCCCCGCCUUCGGCU